AACGAACGCUGGCGGCAUGCCUAACACAUGCAAGUCGAACGAGACCUUCGGGUCUAGUGGCGAACGGGUGCGUAACGCGUGGGAACCUGCCCUUAGGUUCGGAAUAACUCCCCGAAAGGGGUGCUAAUACCGGCUAAUGUCUUCGGACCAAAGAUUUAUCGCCUUUGGAUGGGCCCGCGUUGGAUUAGCUAGUUGGUAGGGUAAAAGCCUACCAAGGCGACGAUCCAUAGCUGGUCUGAGAGGAUGAUCAGCCACACUGGGACUGAGACACGGCCCAGACUCCUACGGGAGGCAGCAGUGGGGAAUAUUGGACAAUGGGCGAAAGCCUGAUCCAGCAAUGCCGCGUGAGUGAUGAAGGCCGUAGGGUUGUAAAGCUCUUUUACCCGGGAUGAUAAUGACAGUACCGGGAGAAUAAGCUCCGGCUAACUCCGUG
rnacentral:rRNA from 1 species